GAUGAACGCUGGCGGCGUGCCUAAUACAUGCAAGUCGAACGAAGAGCUUUUGUAGUAAUACAGAGGUUUCUUAGUGGCGAACGGGUGAGUAACGCGUGGGUAACCUGCCCUGUACACACGGAUAACAUACCGAAAGGUAUGCUAAUACGAGAUGAUAUGCUUUUAUCGCAUGGUAGAAGUAUCAAAGCUUUUGCGGUACAGGAUGGACCCGCGUCUGAUUAGCUAGUUGGUAAGGUAACGGCUUACCAAGGCGACGAUCAGUAGCCGACCUGAGAGGGUGAUCGGCCACAUUGGAACUGAGACACGGUCCAAACUCCUACGGGAGGCAG
rnacentral:rRNA from 1 species